AUCCAGACUCCUACGGGAGGCAGCAGUGGGGAAUAUUGCACAAUGGGGGAAACCCUGAUGCAGCGACGCCGCGUGAGCGAUGAAGUAUUUCGGUAUGUAAAGCUCUAUCAGCAGGGAAGAAGAUGACGGUACCUGACUAAGAAGCCCCGGCUAACUACGUGCCAGCAGCCGCGGUAAUACGUAGGGGGCAAGCGUUAUCCGGAUUUACUGGGUGUAAAGGGAGCGUAGACGGCGAUGCAAGCCAGAUGUGAAAGCCCGGGGCUCAACCCCGGGACUGCAUUUGGAACUGUGUGGCUGGAGUGUCGGAGAGGCAGGCGGAAUUCCUAGUGUAGCGGUGAAAUGCGUAGAUAUUAGGAGGAACACCAGUGGCGAAGGCGGCCUGCUGGACGAUGACUGACGUUGAGGCUCGAAAGCGUGGGGAGCAAACAGGAUUAGAUACCCUCGUAGA
rnacentral:rRNA from 1 species